AUAGAGACUCAGAGCUGCAUAUCAAUAAGCGGAGGAAAAGAAACUAACAAGGAUUCCCUUAGUAACGGCGAGUGAAGCGGGAAGAGCUCAAAUUUGAAAUCUUCAAGGUUCUACCUUGACGAAUUGUAGUUUAUAGAAGUGUUUUCUGUUAGUGGAGUGGCAAAAGUUCUUUGGAAUAGGACAUCAUAGAGGGUGAGAAUCCCGUAUUUGACCAUUACUUUCCAGCUUUGUGAUACACUUUCAAAGAGUCGGAUUGUUUGGGAAUGCAGUCCAAAAUGGGUGGUAAAUUUCAUCUAAAGCUAAAUAUUGGCGAGAGACCGAUAGCGAACAAGUACCGUGAGGGAAAGAUGAAAAGAACUUUGAAAAGAGAGUUAAACAGUACGUGAAAUUGUCAAAAGGGAAGCGUUUGACACCAGUGUUGUUUUUCCGAAAAUCAAUUAAGAAUGUUUUAUUUUUGAGGAGUUAUGACUUCAUCGGCUUGCUUCUCUCUUUAUGAAACUUUCUUAAUGCACUUUUCGGUUAACAAGUCAACAUCAAUUUCUUUUGUUGUAAAAGAGUAUGAGGAAGGUGGCUUUCUUUUCGGAGAAAGUGUUUAUAGCCUUGUACUUCUGCAAUCGGAGAGAUUGAGGUCUGCAGCGUAGAUCCUUCGGGGUUAGAUACAUUUGUGCUAAGUUAUAGCUUUUCAUAGACAACUUGUUGAUUAUGUUAAGUCUUGUAGCUUACUCGCUUAUGCUAUUUUACCUACGCUUAGGAUGUUGAUAUGCAUGACUGAUAU
rnacentral:rRNA from 1 species